rnacentral:rRNA from 1 species
GACGAACGCUAGCGGCGGGCUUAACACAUGCAAGUCGAACGGAAAGGCCCUGCAUUUGUUGGGUUCUCUGGUGGCGAACCGGUGAGCAACACGUUAAUAACCUGCCCUCCACCUUGGGAUAACUUCAGGAAACUGGGGCUGAUACCCUAUUGGAGCUCCAGCUGCCUGGUGGGCGUUCGAAUGGUUCGGCUGUUGGGGAUGGACUCGCGGCUGAUCCGUCUGAUGGUGGGGUAGGCGCUUACCAAGGCUUCGACGGGUAGGCGGCCUGAGAGUGGGACCGGCCACAUUGGGACAGAGAUACGGCCGAGAGUAGUACGGGAGGCAGCAGUGGGGAAUAUUGCACGAUGGGCGCAAGCCUGAUGCAGCAACGCCGCGUGCGGGAUGACGGCCUUCGGGUUGUAGACCGCUUUCGCCUGUGACGAAGCGUGAGUGACGGUAAUGGAUAAAGAAGCACCGGCUAAUUACGUG